rnacentral:rRNA from 1 species
UAGAUGAAUUUGGUGCUUGCACCAAAUGAAACUAGAUACAAGCGAGCGGCGGACGGGUGAGUAACACGUGGGUAACCUGCCCAAGAGACUGGGAUAACACCUGGAAACAGAUGCUAAUACCGGAUAACAACACUAGACGCAUGUCUAGAGUUUAAAAGAUGGUUCUGCUAUCACUCUUGGAUGGACCUGCGGUGCAUUAGCUAGUUGGUAAGGUAACGGCUUACCAAGGCAAUGAUGCAUAGCCGAGUUGAGAGACUGAUCGGCCACAUUGGGACUGAGACACGGCCCCAACUCCUACGGGAGGCAGCAGUAGGGAAUCUUCCACAAUGGACGCAAGUCUGAUGGAGCAACGCCGCGUGAGUGAAGAAGGGUUUCGGCUCGUAAAGCUCUGUUGGUAGUGAAGAAAGAUAGAGGUAGUAACUGGCCUUUAUUUGACGGUAAUUACUUAGAAAGUCACGGCUAACUACGUGCCAGCAGCCGCGGUAAUACGUAGGUGGCAAGCGUUGUCCGGAUUUAUUGGGCGUAAAGCGAGUGCAGGCGGUUCAAUAAGUCUGAUGUGAAAGCCUUCGGCUCAACCGGAGAAUUGCAUCAGAAACUGUUGAACUUGAGUGCAGAAGAGGAGAGUGGAACUCCAUGUGUAGCGGUGGAAUGCGUAGAUAUAUGGAAGAACACCAGUGGCGAAGGCGG